GGGAUUGUGGCUCAGUUGUAGAGUACUCACCUAGCAUGUGUGAGGCACUGAGUUCAAUCCUCAGCACCA
rnacentral:tRNA from 1 species